AUCUAUGACCGUACCACCGCGAAUGUGCCCUAUUCCAUCUGAUCUCAGAACCUAAGCAGGAUCAGGCCUGGUUAAUACUGAGAUGGAGAAAUCAUCUGAAAGAAUAUGUAGUUUAGUAA
rnacentral:rRNA from 1 species